CUUGAAAAAGGGAGUUCAAGAAGAGCUUCGAAGAAGCUUUCUUGAUGGAGGGGAGUGGCAGACGGGUGAGUAACGCGUGGGAACAUACCCUUAUCUUCGGAACAACUCCGGGAAACUGGAGCUAAUACCGAAUGUGCCCUUAGGGGGAAAGAUUUAUCGGAUAAGGAUUGGCCCGCGUUGGAUUAGCUAGUUGGUGGGGUAAAGGCCUACCAAGGCGACGAUCCAUAGCUGGUCUGAGAGGAUGAUCAGCCACAUUGGGACUGAGACACGGCCCAAACUCCUACGGGAGGCGGCAGUGGGGAAUAUUGGGCAAUGGGCGCAAGCCUGAUCCAGCCAUGCCGCGUGAGUGAUGAAGGCCUUAGGGUUGUAAAGCUCUUUCACCGGAGAAGAUAAUGACGGUAUCCGGAGAAGAAGCCCCGGCUAACUUCGUGCCAGCCGCCGCAGUAACAC
rnacentral:rRNA from 1 species